ACCUUCUUGUCGGAGCGCCUUGGUGCCUCACUUAAUGAGUGAGCCAUACGAAGGCUGAGAUGGGUUCGGCCCAAUCCGUAGAACCUGAACAGGCUAAUACCUGCGGAGGGAACAAGGUGCAUCAGCCA
rnacentral:ncRNA from 2 species